GCUGGGCAUGGUGGCGCGUGCCUGUAAUCCCAGCUACUCAGGAGGCUGAGGCAGGAGAAUUGUCUGAACCCAGGUGGCAGAGGUUGCAGUGAGCCGAGAUCGCGCCAUUGCACUCCAGCCUGGGUAACAAGAUGAAACUCCGUCUCAA
ensembl:misc_RNA Metazoa_SRP Metazoan signal recognition particle RNA